UCAAUAAUAAUCUCCAAGAAGCAUAAACAUUCAAAUCCAAGAGGCAUGGCAUCUCGGAAGCUGUUCAUGGUGUCCAUUGCUGCCAUGCUCGUAUUUGCAUGUUAUGCUUCUUCAACUGAAGAAAAUGAUGAGGAUCAAAUUUGGACUUGCACUCGACCAUGUUCAAGCAAUUUUGGAGAUCUAGAAUGCGACGUAGGUUGCGUCAAUGGAAACGAAGGCAACGGAUUUUGUCUUCCACAGCAUGGUGACUUUAAUCACAAAGUUUGCUGUUGCAGUAGAAGUGAGCUGUUGCAAUAGUAAUCCAUGAAUUUAAGAAGGAUAUUUCAGUAUCUUCCAUUGGAUAUAAGUUCCAAACAAUUCUAUACCUUUUUCAAUGCAAAUAUGAAAUGAAAUGUGUGGUUGAAUACUAUAUUAUUCGGUUCGUUUUAGUUCCGGUGCUUUUAAAA